ACCCUGAUCCAGCAAUGCCGCGUGUGUGAAGAAGGUUUUCGGAUUGUAAAGCACUUUCGGCGGGGACGAUGAUGACGGUACCCGCAGAAGAAGCCCCGGCUAACUUCGUGCCAGCAGCCGCGGUAAUACGAAGGGGGCUAGCGUUGCUCGGAAUGACUGGGCGUAAAGGGCGUGUAGGCGGUUUGUACAGUCAGAUGUGAAAUCCCCGGGCUUAACCUGGGAGCUGCAUUUGAUACGUGCAGACUAGAGUGUGAGAGAGGGUUGUGGAAUUCCCAGUGUAGAGGUGAAAUUCGUAGAUAUUGGGAAGAACACCGGUGGCGAAGGCGGCAACCUGGCUCAUUACUGACGCUGAGGCGCGAAAGCGUGGGGAGCAAACAGGAUUAGAUACCCUGGUAGUCCACGCUGUAAACGAUGUGUGCUGGAUGUUGGGUAACUUAGUUACUCAGUGUCGUAGCUAACGCGAUAAGCACACCGCCUGGGGAGUACGGCCGCAAGGUUGAAACUCAAAG
rnacentral:rRNA from 1 species